GUGGGGAAUAUUGCACAAUGGGGGAAACCCUGAUGCAGCAAUGCCGCGUGAGUGAUGACGGCCUUCGGGUUGUAAAGCUCUGUCUUCGGGGACGAUAAUGACGGUACCCGAGGAGGAAGCCACGGCUAACUACGUGCCAGCAGCCGCGGUAAUACGUAGGUGGCAAGCGUUGUCCGGAUUUACUGGGCGUAAAGGGAGCGUAGGCGGACUUUUAAGUGAGAUGUGAAAUACCCGGGCUCAACCUGGGUGCUGCAUUUCAAACUGGAAGUCUAGAGUGCAGGAGAGGAGAGUGGAAUUCCUAGUGUAGCGGUGAAAUGCGUAGAGAUUAGGAAGAACACCAGUGGCGAAGGCGACUCUCUGGACUGUAACUGACGCUGAGGCUCGAAAGCGUGGGGAGCAAACAGGAUUAGAUACCCUGGUAGUCC
rnacentral:rRNA from 1 species